rnacentral:rRNA from 1 species
AUUGAACGCUGGCGGCAGGCCUAACACAUGCAAGUCGAGCGAGCGGCGGACGGGUGAGUAAUGUCUGGGAAACUGCCUGAUGGAGGGGGAUAACUACUGGAAACGGUAGCUAAUACCGCAUACCAUCAGAUGUGCCCAGAUGGGCUUAGCUAGUAGGUGGGGUAACGGCUCACCUAGGCGGCGAUCCCUAGCUGGUCUGAGGGGAUGACCAGCCACACUGGAACUGAGACACGGUCCAGACUCCUACGGGAGGGAGCGGGGGAGAAUAUUGCACAAUGGGCGAAAGCCUGAUGCAGCCAUGCCGCGUGUGUGAAGAAGGCCUUCGGGUUGUAAAGCACUUACAGCGGGGAGGCGUUACCCGCAGAAGAAGCACCGGCUAACUCCGUGCCAGCAGCCGCGGUAAUAC